GUACUCACUUUCAAAGCAUAUAUCUAAAAUCAAAAUGAUACAGACAAGAUUGGCAUGGCACUGUACAAGGAUGACACACAUGUUCAUGAAGCAUUCCAUAUUCUA
ensembl:snRNA U6 U6 spliceosomal RNA